rnacentral:rRNA from 1 species
GACGAACGCUGGCGGCGUGCUUAACACAUGCAGGUCGAACGGAAAGGCCCUGCUUUUGUGGGGUGCUCGAGUGGCGAACGGGUGAGUAACACGUGAGUAACCUGCCCUUGACUUUGGGAUAACUUCAGGAAACUGGGGCUAAUACAGGAUAGGAGCUCCUGCUGCAUGGUGGGGGUUGGAAAGUUUCGGCGGUUGGGGAUGGACUCGCGGCUUAUCAGCUUGUUGGUGGGGUAGUGGCUUACCAAGGCUUUGACGGGUAGCCGGCCUGAGAGGGUGACCGGCCACAUUGGGACUGAGAUACGGCCCAGACGGCUACGGGAGGCAGCAGUGGGGAAUAUUGCACAAUGGGCGGAAGUCUGAUACAGCAACGCCGCGUGCGGAAUGACGGCCUUCGGGUUGUAAACCGCUUUCGCCUGUGACGAAGCGUGAGUGACGGUAAUGGGUAAAGAAGCACCGGCUAACUACGUG